rnacentral:lncRNA from 1 species
AAGGAGCUCACCACAGCCCUGGUCAACCAGUGGCCCUCCCUGAGCACACUCAGUAGACCGGAGGGUGCCAGCAACUCCAAGCUAUUUCGGAGACACAGCUUCAUGAGUACGGAGCCCCUGUCUGCAGAGGCCAGCCUGAGCUCAGACUCCCAGCGCCUGGGUGAGGGCAAGAGGGACGAGGAACCCUGGGGCCCCAUCGGAAGCUCAGAACCAAAUUAGUGGCUCCCUCCGAGUGAAUGCCCAGGACUUCAACGCAUGCGUUUUGUGUUGACCCCCCCCCUCCACCUUGGUUACGCCCUUCCUAGUUUCCCCCCAUGCCUGGACCUCCUGUCUUUUUUUUCUUUAAUAUAUAGAUAUAUAAUUAUACUGUAUCAGAUAACUUGACUUUGAGGC